rnacentral:rRNA from 1 species
GCUGCCAGUAGUCAUAUGCUUGUCUCAAAGAUUAAGCCAUGCACGUGUAAGAUCAUUUGGUAAGGAGCAAUCCUUAUGAACAAUAAUCUGCGGAUGGCUCAAGAUAACAGUUAUAAACUUGGCUAUCAGCCUUUUAUACGGAUAACACCGUCAAAUGCGGUGAUAAUACGUGUCCACAAAACCCGAAAGGGUUGACGAUACAAUCAUUGGAAAAUGUUGUAUCAGCAGAUAACGACCUUUUGGUCGUUAUUAUAGACAACGCAAGUUGCCUGGAAGAGGUAUUUCUAACUUAUCAGGUACGUUGUUUCAGUAAGGGUGAAACAAGCCGACCACGAGUACGGCGAAUCAGUGUUCGAUUCCGGAGAGGGAGCCUGAGAGAUGGCUACUACAUCUAAGGAUGGCAGCAGGCGCGAAAAUUACCCAAUACAAAUUCAGUGAGGUAGUGACAAGAUAUAACGACCUUACAUUUUCGCAAUGGAAGGGUACUGUGUUAAAAGCAGUUUGGAAUGUUUCUAGUUCAAAAUCCUAUUAGAGUAACAAUUGGAGGGCAAGUCUGGUGCCAGCAGCCGCGGUACUUCCAGCUCCAAUAGCGUAUAUUAAAGCUGCUGCACUUAAAAAGGUCGUAGUUGGAUGUUAAUUAAAAUUGUAUAUUGUAANNNGUGUUGUGUACACCGUGUUUUUGGUAUGUGUUUUUGUUAAGUGUUUUUGGAAAGUGUUGUGUAAGUGUUGUUNAGGUNUAGUUGUGUUUUGGUUUUGGUAUAGAGAUAAAGCCUUCUCUAAUGUGUGUGAUAUAAUUUAAAAAAAUUCUGAGGAUCUAAAUAUAAUAUAAAUAAUAAUAUAUAUAUAUAUAUAUAUAUAUAUUACUUUACUUUGAAAAAAUUAGAGUGAUUAAACAGGUCUCUAUUAUGUCAUAUAUAAAUUAGCAUGGGAUAAUCGAAUAUGAAUUAGUUAUUUGUUUUUGGAUUUUGGUUUGGAAUAUAAUUUUUAUUCUUAUGAAUAAAAAUUAUAUAAAAUUCAAAUACCUAAUUACAUGAUGAAUAGGGACAGUUGAGGUUCUUGUAUUGAACUGUGAGAGGUGAAAUUCUAAGAUCAGUAUAAGACGUACUAAUGCGAAAGCAUUGAACAUGGGUGUUUCAUUAAUCAAGGACGAAAGUUAGGGGAUCGAAGAUGAUCAGAUACCGUCGUAGUCUUAACUUUAAACUAUGUCGACUAAAGAUCAGUUAAAGUCUAUUAUAAAAUGACUUUAUUGGUAUUUUAUGAGAAAUCUGAAGUAUUCGGAUUCCGGGGGGAGUAUGGUCGCAAGGCUGAAACUUAAAGGAAUUGACGGAAGGGCACCACCAGGAGUGGAACCUGCGGCUUAAUUGGACUCAACGCCGGAAAACUCACCAGGUCCGGACACAAGUAGGAUUGACAGAUUGAUAGUUCUUUCUUGAUUUUGUGGAAAGUGGUGCAUGGCCGUUUUUAGUUGGUGGAUUGAUUUGUCUGGUUUAUUCCGUUAACGAACGAGACCUUAACCUAUUAAAUAGUAACCUAAACAUUAAUUAUUUAAAAAAAAAAAAAAAAAUCAAGAAAGAUUAUUUUAUUUUUUUUUUUAAAACAUGAAAAAAAGUAAUACAUACGGGGUUUAUUGAUAUUACUUCUUAAAGGGACAUUUCAUGUUUAAUGAAAGGAAGAUUGAGGCAACAACAGGUCUGUGAUGCCCUUCGAUGUUCUGGGCUGCACGCGUGUUACAAUGUUAUAAUCAGCGAGUUAGUGACCUAACCCUUAUGGGUAUAGGUAAUCUUAUAAAACUAUAAACAUGAUUGGGAUAGAUCUUGWAAUUAUUGAUCUUGAACGAGGAAUUCCUAGUAAAUAUGAGUCAUCAUCUCAUGUUGAUUACGUCCCCGCCCUUUGUACACCCCGCCCGUCGCUCCUACCGAUUGAAUGUCAAGAUGAGGAUUUAGGAUAGAGAGUUUGAAUGAAAAAAAAAAAAAAGAUUUUUUUAUUAAUAAAAAAUCUUUUUAAAAAUAAUUCUAAGGAACUGUUAAUUUAUUAGAAGAACCUAUACUUUGUUAAAAAUUUAUUCAAACCUUAUCAUUUAGAGGAAGGAGAAGUCGUAACAAGGUUUCCGUAGGUGAACCUGCAGAAGGAUCA